AUACGUAGGUGACAAGCGUUAUCCGGAUUUACUGGGCGUAAAGGGCGUGUAGGCGGUCUUGCAAGUCAGAAGUGAAAUUCCUGAGCUCAACUCGGGCGCUGCUUCUGAAACUGCAGGACUUGAGUGCUGGAGGGGAUAGCGGAAUUCCUAGUGGAGCGGUAAAAUGCGCAGAUAUUAGGAAGAACACCGGUGGCGAAGGCGGCUAUCUGGACAGUAACUGACGCUGAGGCGCGAAAGCGUGGGGAGCAAACAGGAUUAGAUACCCUGGUAGCCCACACUGUAAACGAUGAAUGCUAGGUGUAAGAGGUAUCGACCCCUUUUGUGCCGGAGUCAACACAAUAAGCAUUCCGCCUGGGGAGUACGGCCGCAAGGUUGAAACUCAAAUGAAUUGACGGGG
rnacentral:rRNA from 1 species